rnacentral:rRNA from 1 species
UGGCGACCGGCGCACGGGUGAGUAACACGUAUCCAACCUGCCGAUGACUCGGGGAUAGCCUUUCGAAAGAAAGAUUAAUACCCGAUGGCAUAGUUCUUCCGCAUGGUAGAACUAUUAAAGAAUUUCGGUCAUCGAUGGGGAUGCGUUCCAUUAGGUUGUUGGCGGGGUAACGGCCCACCAAGCCUUCGAUGGAUAGGGGCUCUGAGAGGAAGGUCCCCCACAUUGGAACUGAGACACGGUCCAA